UGGAAAUAGUUUCUCCUAGGAUGGAAUAGGGGAACCCAAAUUUGUGACUAAGCUCUGGAGGAGGCCUGGAAAGAAAACUUGUCCAGGAUGGAAUAUUUUGUUGUUGUUCUCAGAUUCCAGGAAGGUAAGAUAAAACUAAAAGAACCAUUAGAAUUACCCAAAAACAAAGAAUUUGGAGUUAAUAUGGAGAGCACAGAGAUGUUGAAGUGAGUGAAUCAGGGACCCUGGGAUCAGGAAGCAGCCAAUCUCUAUUCCUACCUGAGGGAUCUGGCAUAGGACAUGAUGUGGAAUAAAUGGGAUACUUGAGUGCCCUUACCAUAUGUAUGCUUCAGAAAACAAAAACAAAUAGAUAUUUUAAUUAAUUAAAAUAAUAUUAAGGACAUCCUAGUGAAUAGCACUAGGUCUUUCAAUUAGUGUACUUUCAAUACCUAGCACUGUGAUGAGCACAUGGAAAGCUACUGAUAUAUUUUUUGAAUGGAUAAGCAGAUUAUGGAUGGAACUCAAGCCAAAAGACCUGUUAUUUAACAGGUCUUACAAUAAGUGACCUUAACCCUUUGUGCCACUCACAUCUCCAUUAUCAUCCCACAACUGUUGUUCCCACUAUGUUUUUACUCAUAAAACUUAGACUUACUACAUAUUUACACUUCUGCCUCAUCUGUCAGACCAAGCUUCCUGAUGGCUUACUUCCCAGGGACCCAUGUCUUAUUUGUUUCCACGUCUUCAGUUCUUAUACUAGGGCCUAGUACAGAAUAAGUGCUGAGCAAAUAUCUGCUUUUAGUGGCUGGAGGAAUGAUCAGAAAGUAACUUACUGAAGGACUUAGGUUUUUGUUAUUGAUUCAGUUCAGUGUAAUCAAAGGUGCCAUUUCUGGAUCCCCACAAUGUACCAGAUGCUUCCACUGUAUAUUUGGAGUAACUUAUAUGGAUGAGGAAAAUUACCUGGAAGAAUCAUCACAGAAGAAAAGGAGACCUCUGGCAGGCCAUGCUGCUAUUUAGAAGACAGUACAGACUCAGAAACCAUUUCUCAUUUCCAUAAAACAUGUAUGGCUGGAGUUGCUCAUUCCUUCAGAAGAAAUACUGGCUUCCCAUAUUGCCACAGCCAGAUAGACAGAUAGCCAGAUAGACCAUGAUGAAAUGUGAAACAACUUAAAAACUGAGGGGAAUCUUUCAAGUCCCAUAUUUUUACUCUGCUGUUUUUUAAGAUUACACCAAAGACAUUGGCCUGAAUUUAAUUUUGCAAUUGAGGACUUAUUUGAAAGAUUCUCUUUUCUAUUUUACCUUCUACCCAAAUUUAUGCAGAUCAGUUCUGUCAAAGUAAUCACUUUCAGUGGGGGCAGUUUACUAAAGAGGAAAAUAGUGAAAUCACACUCAGGAAUCCUAGGUUCUGCUGGUGGCUCCACAUUAGAUAUGUGACCUUGGACAUAGCCCUUUACUGUUAACAUCAGAGUGUUUUUAUUUGUAAAUUAAACAGUUUAGGUCAAAUAA